rnacentral:rRNA from 1 species
AACGAACGCUGGCGGCAUGCCUAACACAUGCAAGUCGAACGAGAUCUUCGGGUCUAGUGGCGCAUGGGUGCGUAACGCGUGGGAAUCUGCCCUUUGGUUCGGAAUAACAGUUGGAAACGACUGCUAAUACCGGAUGAUGACGAAAGUCCAAAGAUUUAUCGCCAGAGGAUGAGCCCGCGUAAGGUUAGCUAGUUGGUGUGGUAAAGGCGCACCAAGGCGACGAUCCUUAGCUGGUCUGAGAGGAUGAUCAGCCACACUGGGACUGAGACACGGGCCAGACUCCUACGGGAGGCAGCAGUGGGGAAUAUUGGACAAUGGGCGAAAGCCUGAUCCAGCAAUGCCGUGUGAGUGAUGAAGGCCUUAGGGUUGUAAAGCUCUUUUACCCGGGAUGAUAAUGACAGUACCGGGAGAAUAAGCUCCGGCUAACUCCGUGCCAGCAGCCGCCGCGG